CAUUAUCCAAAACUUCUCAAUAUUCGACUGACCAAUCAACAUCUAACCUUCGAUAAUUUCACAGGAAGAAUGAGAAAUUUGAGCAGCCAUCAAAGAAAAAAGGAAUUUGCCUCCUUCAAACUUAGAUGAGGAGCCGCCGUGAUAAGAGCAUUCUCAAAUAACUGUACAGAAGAUAGUGGAAAGAUGUGAAGUUAAAAAGUGGAAGCUAUGAUCAUAGAAUUGCUGGAGCCAACUGCCUAAUUGCUGGUUUUGGAAACGAUGAACUAGCUCGACUUCUUGUUGCAUCACGUUAGACUCUUCUCCUUCAUGCCUUAUCAGUGAUGCAUCCUGCUCGACUUGAAAUUCUAUGUUGUGCGCUUG